AUUGAACGCUGGCGGCAUGCCUUACACAUGCAAGUCGAACGGCAGCACGGGAGCAAUCCUGGUGGCGAGUGGCGAACGGGUGAGUAAUAUAUCGGAACGUGCCCAGUCGUGGGGGAUAACGUAGCGAAAGCUACGCUAAUACCGCAUACGAUCUAUGGAUGAAAGCGGGGGAUCGCAAGACCUCGCGCGAUUGGAGCGGCCGAUAUCAGAUUAGGUAGUUGGUGAGGUAAAGGCUCACCAAGCCGACGAUCUGUAGCUGGUCUGAGAGGACGACCAGCCACACUGGGACUGAGACACGGCCCAGACUCCUACGGGAGGCAGCAGUGGGGAAUUUUGGACAAUGGGCGCAAGCCUGAUCCAGCAAUG
rnacentral:rRNA from 1 species